rnacentral:tRNA from 2 species
GCGGAUGUGGCUCAGUUGGUAGAGCAUCACCUUGCCAAGGUGAGGGUCGCGGGUUCGAGUCCAGUCAUCCGCU